ensembl:snoRNA
GAUCAAUGAGAAAAAUAGCCAAAUCUGAGUAUCAGAAAACCUACAAGUCUCCCUGAUGUGUGAUCUUGGUUUCAGCUUAGG